rnacentral:rRNA from 1 species
AUUGAACGCUGGCGGCAUGCCUUACACAUGCAAGUCGAACGGUAACAGGUCUUCGGAUGCUGACGAGUGGCGAACGGGUGAGUAAUACAUCGGAACGUGCCUAGUAGUGGGGGAUAACUACUCGAAAGAGUGGCUAAUACCGCAUGAGAUCUACGGAUGAAAGCAGGGGAUCGCAAGACCUUGUGCUACUAGAGCGGCCGAUGGCAGAUUAGGUAGUUGGUGGGAUAAAAGCUUACCAAGCCGACGAUCUGUAGCUGGUCUGAGAGGACGAUCAGCCACACUGGGACUGAGACACGGCCCAGACUCCUACGGGAGGCAGCAGUGGGGAAGUUUGGACAAUGGGCGAAAGCCUGAUCCAGCAAUGCCGCGUGCAGGAUGAAGGCCUUCGGGUUGUGAACUGCUUUUGUACGGAACGAAAAGCCCUGGGUUAAUACCCUGGGGUCAUGACGGUACCGUAAGAAUAAGCACCGGCUAACUACGUGCCAGCAGCCGCCGUAA